rnacentral:rRNA from 1 species
UACAGAGGUGGCAAGCGUUGUUCGGAAUUACUGGGCGUAAAGGGCGCGUAGGCGGCCCGUCAAGUCCCGUGUGAAAGCCCCCGGCUCAACCGGGGAACGGCGCGGGAAACUAGCAGGCUUGAGUUCGGGAGAGGGAAGCGGAAUUCCGGGUGUAGCGGUGAAAUGCGCAGAUAUCCGGAGGAACACCGGUGGCGAAGGCGGCUUCCUGGACCGACACUGACGCUGAGGCGCGAAGGUCAGGGGAGCAAACGGG